rnacentral:rRNA from 1 species
GAAUCAAUUUAAUUUGAAUUAAAAAAUUUAUUUUUUUUUUAGAUUAUUGAUUUUUUUAAUAAAAAUAAUUUUUAGUUUUUUUAUUUAUUUUAGAUAAAAUUUUUUAUUAAUUAUAGUUAAAUAGUAUAGAGAUAGAAGAUUUAAAUAUAUGAAAUAAGUAAAAUAUAUAAAAGAAAAUUUAAUUUAUUGUACCUUGUGUAUCAGGGUUUAUUAAAUAAGAAUUAUAUAUAAUUAAUUUUCUCGAAUUUAAAAGAGCUAAAAAAUUAUAAAUUUUAUUGUGGUAUAAAUAUUUAUAAUAAUUUUUUAGUAAUGAAACGUUAUUCGUUUUUAAAUUUAUCUAGUUUUUUAAGAAAUAAAUUUAAUUUAGUUAUUUAUUGUUUUAAUUUAUAGAUUCUUAUAAAUUUAGAUUAAAUAAAUAGUUAAUAUUUUAAGGGAUAAGCUUUAAAAUAAAUCUUGAAAAAUAUAAGUUUAUAAUAUAAAAUUUAUAGGAGUGGAAGUAUCUUUUUAUUAUUGUGUUUUAUAACAAAUUUUAUAUAAAAUAAAAUUUUUAUAUUAUUUUCAAUUUUUUAUUAAAAUUAUUAAUAUAAUAGUUUAAUUAAUGUAAUAAUGAUAAAAUUAGUAUAAUUUUAUGUAUAAUUAAUUUAAUUUAUAAAGGUUAAGUUAAGGAAUUCGGCAAAUAAUUUUUCCGCCUGUUUAUUAAAAACAUGUCUUUUUGAUUAUAAUUUAAAGUCUGACCUGCCCUAUGAUAGUAUUAAAUGGCCGCGAUAUUUUGAUCGUGCAAAGGUAGCAUAAUCAUUAGUUUUUUAAUUGAGAACUGGAAUGAAAGGUCGAACGAGAAAAAGACUGUCUCAAUUUAAUUUUAAUUAGAAUUUUAUUUUUAAGUUAAAAAGCUUAAAUAAAUUUAAAAGACGAGAAGACCCUAUAGAGUUUUAUAUACAUAUUAUUUUAAAAAAAGUUAAGAAUUUUUUUUUAUUAUUAUAUUAUGUAUAUUUGGUUGGGGCGACCAAAAAAUUUAAUAAACUUUUUUUAUUUUUAUCCAUUAAUAUAUGAUUAAAUGAUCCAUAAAUUAUGAUUAUAAGAUUAAAUUACCUUAGGGAUAACAGCGUUAUUUUUUUUGAGAGUUCUUAUCGAAAAAAAAGUUUGCGACCUCGAUGUUGGAUUAAAAUUUACUUUUGGUGUAGAAGCUAAAUAGGUUAGGUCUGUUCGACCUUUAAAAUUUUACAUGAUCUGAGUUUAAACCGGUGUAAGCCAGGUUGGUUUCUAUCUUUAAAAUUAUAAAAUAUUUUAGUACGAAAGGAUCAAAUAUUUUUAAUAAUUAAUUAAUAAUAGAUUAAUAAUAAUUUUUAAUUACUUUGGCAGAAUAGUGCUA